CAAACACAGAUGUCUGGUCUUCUGAUUCUCGCUCAUCCAUGCGCUGCUGGAUGUUCCUGUCUCUUACGCAGGAGUGAGGAAACUCUUUCUAGACUGACUACAUAG
rnacentral:lncRNA from 1 species